GACGAACGCUGGCGGCGUGCUUAACACAUGCAAGUCGAACGGUGAGGCGCGUUCCUCUUUGGGGGGUGUGGAUGAGUGGCGAACGGGUGAGUAACACGUGAGUAACGUGCCCCCUUCCUCUUGAUAACCGCAAGCAAGUGUGGAUCAUACGGAAUAUUCUAUGUCUGUCUCACGAUGGGUCUGGGAAGGAGAUUGUUCCGGUGGGGGAUGGGCUCGCGGCCUAUCAGCUUGGUGGUGGGGUGAAGGCCUACCAGGGCGGGGACGAGUAGCCGGCCUGAGAGGGUCGACGGUCAUACUGGGACUGCGCCACGGCACCGACUCCGAGGGGCGGCAGCAGUGAAGAAUAUGGCACAAUGGGAGGCAUGCUGAAGCAGCGCCGCCGCGUGAGGGAUGGCCUUCGUCGGGUUGAGAACCUCUUUCGCCAGUGAAGGAGGCUUGCCUUGAUUGUGGGUGCGUUGACGGUAGCUGGAUAAGAAGCGCCGGCUAACUACGUG
rnacentral:rRNA from 1 species